CCACGUGUCCCUACAUUUUUCCCCUCAUCUUCCACCGCCUCAGUCAUUCCAUUGAUUCUGUUCUUUCUUUUUUCUUUCUGUCUUGUUUAGCUGGGAAAAAAUCGAGAAACAGAAAAACAGAGCAAACAGAGCACGAGAGAGAGAGAGCGAGAUAAAGAGCGAAAUAGAGAGCGAGAUGGAGAGCAAUUGUGCGGUGGAGAACUUGGCUGGAAAUUCAUGCAGGAGUAAGGACUCGGCUUGGAGAACAGGGAGAUGGAGGGAGUCCGUUGGUUUUGAGUUGGAUUGAGGUGAACGGUUCCUUGAAGGAUUAGGAGUUGACGAGACCGAAAAUAAGCACCCAGAAGGCUCGAUUUGUUGAGUUAUCAUUUUGAAAAUUGUCUGUAAAUACUUUAUUCCCUUGUAAAAUGAUGUAUUAUAGUUAUACAAACUAUUUAAGAAGAAUAUUGUGAUAAUUAGAUUAAGAAACCGAUUUUACUAUGUUGUGUGAAAGGAAUUGAAUGAUAUUGCAUGUUAUGUUUCAUUUUGACUUGAGGUA